rnacentral:ncRNA from 1 species
ACACAUAACCGGGGGUGCUCCGUUCAGGGGCUGAGAUGCGCGACCGCGUGAACCCUUUCAUAGCUGAUCUGGAUAAUACCAGCGGAGCGAGGUAACUCAUGUUCAUA